CCAGUUUUUAGACGCUAGACUAGUUUUAGUUAUUGUGCUGUGUAGCGGAAGCAAAUUGCCUUUUAUGCAUUUUGGUGGAAGUGGAAGUGGAAUUUUGCUCAUGUUAGCUGAAGCAUGUGUAUUAAUUUGAAAGGUGUAUUUGAGAAGAAAAUUCAUGAAGAAUGAAUUUAUUGUGAUAGUAAUGGAUAUUGUUUACUUAUGUUUUGGUUUUGUGGGGUUGAAUUCGGGGAAGUCUUCUGUUUUGGAGAGCAUUGACGGGAAGGACUUCUUACCCCGUGGUUCUGAUAAGAUUCUUAGUUAUCUGUGAGGGCUUGGUUUGGUCGAUAGAGUGGCCAUAUUAAUUUGUUUAGUCAUGUAGAUAUCAAAUGCUAGUCUUUGGACGUUCUUGCCACUCAUUUUUGGGAUGUUUUCAUUUAUGGUGAUGUUUCUUCUUGGAUGUUUGGGAAAUGACACAUGGGGAAAUAAUUGCAGGAAUUGUUAGUCGGCAUCCUCUAGUGUUUCAGCCUCAUAAGAUUGACGAACGCAGCAGAGAAUAUGCGGAGUUUCUCCACCUUCCAAGGAAAAGCUGCUGUAAUAAAGGAAAUUUCAGACUAGACAAUUCGUGAAACUAGCUGCAGCAAAAGAUCUCCGGUGUUCCAAUUCAUCUUAGCAUAUAUUCUCCUGAUGUUAUCAACUUGACAUUUUUGAUCUUCCUGGGCUUACAAAAGUUGGUGUUGGUAACUAUCAAGGCUCUCAUUUUUUUACAUGUAUUUCUUUGUCGUUGUAUAUGCCUGUGGAAAAGUGUAAAGAAGUCCAAGGGCUAUGAUGGAAAAAAGAACGGUAGAACAUAAAUGCAUUCCUAGGGAUCCUUGUACAUAUUAAUUUUUACUGAAUUCUAUUAAUCGUAUAUGUAGUGGGACUCUUAACAAUCUUGAGGUAAAGAGUCCACUGAUAGUCUUUAGUGCUCAUUAAGAAAAUAAAGUAAGCAAUGUUUGUUUGGAAA